rnacentral:rRNA from 1 species
AUUGAACGCUAGCGGCAGGCCUAACACAUGCAAGUCGAGCGGAUGAGAGGAGCUUGCUUCUCGAUUCAGCGGCGGACGGGUGAGUAAUGCCUAGGAAUCUGCCUGGUAGUGGGGGACAACGUUUCGAAAGGAACGCUAAUACCGCAUACGUCCUACGGGAGAAAGCAGGGGACCUUCGGGCCUUGCGCUAUCAGAUGAGCCUAGGUCGGAUUAGCUAGUUGGUGAGGUAAUGGCUCACCAAGGCGACGAUCCGUAACUGGUCUGAGAGGAUGAUCAGUCACACUGGAACUGAGACACGGUCCAGACUCCUACGGGAGGCAGCAGUGGGGAAUAUUGGACAAUGGGCGAAAGCCUGAUCCAGCCAUGCCGCGUGUGUGAAGAAGGUCUUCGGAUUGUAAAGCACUUUAAGUUGGGAGGAAGGGCAGUAAGUUAAUACCUUGCUGUUUUGACGUUACCGACAGAAUAAGCACCGGCUAACUCUGUGCCAGCCGCCGCGGUAAGAC